rnacentral:rRNA from 2 species
UAUCAGAAGUGCGAAUGCUGACAUAAGUAACGAUAAAGCGGGUGAAAAGCCCGCUCGCCGGAAGACCAAGGGUUCCUGUCCAACGUUAAUCGGGGCAGGGUGAGUCGACCCCUAAGGCGAGGCCGAAAGGCGUAGUCGAUGGGAAACGGGUUAAUAUUCCCGUACUUGGUGUUACUGCGAAGGGGGGACGGAGAAGGCUAUGUUGGCCGGGCGACGGUUGUCCCGGUUUAAGCGUGUAGGUGUGUGUUCCAGGUAAAUCCGGUUCACUUUAACACUGAGGCGUGACGACGAGGCACUACGGUGCUGAAGCAACAAAUGCCCUGCUUCCAGGAAAAGCCUCUAAGCAUCAGGUAACAUCAAAUCGUACCCCAAACCGACACAGGUGGUCAGGUAGAGAAUACCAAGGCGCUUGAGAGAACUCGGGUGAAGGAACUAGGCAAAAUGGUGCCGUAACUUCGGGAGAAGGCACGCUGACAUGUAGGUGAAGUGAUUUACUCAUGGAGCUGAAGUCAGUCGAAGAUACCAGCUGGCUGCAACUGUUUAUUAAAAACACAGCACUGUGCAAACACGAAAGUGGACGUAUACGGUGUGACGCCUGCCCGGUGCCGGAAGGUUAAUUGAUGGGGUCAGCGCAAGCGAAGCUCCUGAUCGAAGCCCCGGUAAACGGCGGCCGUAACUAUAACGGUCCUAAGGUAGCGAAAUUCCUUGUCGGGUAAGUUCCGACCUGCACGAAUGGCGUAAUGAUGGCCAGGCUGUCUCCACCCGAGACUCAGUGAAAUUGAACUCGCUGUGAAGAUGCAGUGUACCCGCGGCAAGACGGAAAGACCCCGUGAACCUUUACUAUAGCUUGACACUGAACAUUGAGCCUUGAUGUGUAGGAUAGGUGGGAGGCUUUGAAGUGUGGACGCCAGUCUGCAUGGAGCCGGCCUUGAAAUACCACCCUUUAAUGUUUGAUGUUCUAACGUGGACCCGUGAUCCGGGUUGCGGACAGUGUCUGGUGGGUAGUUUGACUGGGGCGGUCUCCUCCUAAAGAGUAACGGAGGAGCACGAAGGUUGGCUAAUCCUGGUCGGACAUCAGGAGGUUAGUGCAAUGGCAUAAGCCAGCUUGACUGCGAGCGUGACGGCGCGAGCAGGUGCGAAAGCAGGUCAUAGUGAUCCGGUGGUUCUGAAUGGAAGGGCCAUCGCUCAACGGAUAAAAGGUACUCCGGGGAUAACAGGCUGAUACCGCCCAAGAGUUCAUAUCGACGGCGGUGUUUGGCACCUCGAUGUCGGCUCAUCACAUCCUGGGGCUGAAGUAGGUCCCAAGGGUAUGGCUGUUCGCCAUUUAAAGUGGUACGCGAGCUGGGUUUAGAACGUCGUGAGACAGUUCGGUCCCUAUCUGCCGUGGGCGCUGGAGAACUGAGGGGGGCUGCUCCUAGUACGAGAGGACCGGAGUGGACGCAUCACUGGUGUUCGGGUUGUCAUGCCAAUGGCACUGCCCGGUAGCUAAAUGCGGAAGAGAUAAGUGCUGAAAGCAUCUAAGCACGAAACUUGCCCCGA